rnacentral:rRNA from 1 species
UAAGCGUAGACGGUGGAUGCCUUGGCAGUCAGAGGCGAUGAAGGACGUAUUAACUUGCGAUAAGCCCAGAUAAGGCAGUAAAAGCCAUUUGAGUCUGGGAUUUCCGAAUGGGGAAACCCACCUGCAUAAGCAGGUAUCUUAGCGUGAAUACAUAGCGCUAAGAGGCGAACUCGGGGAACUGAAACAUCUAAGUACCCGAAGGAAAAGAAAUCAAUUGAGAUUCCGGCAGUAGCGGCGAGCGAACCCGGAGCAGCCCUUAAGCGGCUUAGGCGUUAGGUGAACAGGUUGGAAAACCUGGCAAUAAAGGGUGAUAGCCCCGUAACCGACAGCGCCUUAGUCGUGAAAACGAGUAGGACGGGACACGUGAUAUCUUGUCUGAACAUGGGGGGACCAUCCUCCAAGGCUAAAUACUCCUGACUGACCGAUAGUGAACCAGUACCGUGAGGGAAAGGCGAAAAGAACCCCUGUGAGGGGAGUGAAAUAGAACCUGAAACCGUCUACGUACAAGCAGUGGGAGCCUCCAUGUGGGGUGACCGCGUACCUUUUGUAUAAUGGGUCAGCGACUUAAUGUUAGUAGCAAGGUUAACCGUAUAGGGGAGCCGUAGGGAAACCGAGUCUUAACUGGGCGUGUAGUUGCUAGCAUUAGACCCGAAACCGAGUGAUCUAGCCAUGGGCAGGUUGAAGGUUGAGUAACAUCAACUGGAGGACCGAACUCACUAACGUUGAAAAGUUAGGNCGAGUAGGACGGGACACGUGAUAUCUUGUCUGAACAUGGGGGGACCAUCCUCCAAGGCUAAAUACUCCUGACUGACCGAUAGUGAACCAGUACCGUGAGGGAAAGGCGAAAAGAACCCCUGUGAGGGGAGUGAAAUAGAACCUGAAACCGUCUACGUACAAGCAGUGGGAGCCUCCUUUGUGGGGUGACCGCGUACCUUUUGUAUAAUGGGUCAGCGACUUAAUGUUAGUAGCAAGGUUAACCGCAUAGGGGAGCCGUAGGGAAACCGAGUCUUAACUGGGCGUGUAGUUGCUAGCAUUAGACCCGAAACCGAGUGAUCUAGCCAUGGGCAGGUUGAAGGUUGAGUAACAUCAACUGGAGGACCGAACUCACUAACGUUGAAAAGUUAGGAGAUGACCUGUGGCUAGGGGUGAAAGGCCAAUCAAACUCGGAGAUAGCUGGUUCUCCCCGAAAGCUAUUUAGGUAGCGCCUCGGACGAAUACUACUGGGGGUAGAGCACUGUUAAGGCUAGGGGGUCAUCCCGACUUACCAACCCUUUGCAAACUCCGAAUACCAGUAAGUACUAUCCGGGAGACACACGGCGGGUGCUAACGUCCGUCGUGGAGAGGGAAACAACCCAGACCGCCAGCUAAGGUCCCAAAGUUAUCGCUAAGUGGGAAACGAUGUGGGAAGGCUCAGACAGCCAGGAUGUUGGCUUAGAAGCAGCCAUCAUUUAAAGAAAGCGUAAUAGCUCACUGGUCGAGUCGGCCUGCGCGGAAGAUGUAACGGGGCUAAGCGAUACACCGAAGCUGCGGCAAUGUCCUUAUGGAUAUUGGGUAGGGGAGCGUUGUGUAAGCUGUUGAAGGUGUGCUGAGAGGCAUGCUGGAGGUAUCACAAGUGCGAAUGCUGACAUGAGUAACGAUAAAGGGGGUGAAAAACCUCCUCGCCGGAAGACCAAGGGUUCCUGUCCAACGUUAAUCGGGGCAGGGUAAGUCGGCCCCUAAGGCGAGGCCGAAAGGCGUAGUCGAUGGGAAACGGGUUAAUAUUCCCGUACUGCUGCUUACUGCGAUGGGGGGACGGAGAAGGCUAGGUGGGCCUGGCGAUGGUUGUCCAGGUUCAAGUGCGUAGGCUGAUUUCUUAGGCAAAUCCGGGAAAUCAAGGCCGAGACACGAUGUCGAGCCACCAAGGUGGUGAAGUCAUUGAUGCCAUGCUUCCGGGAAAAGCCUCUAAGCUUCAGGUAAGUAGCAACCGUACUCCAAACCGACACAGGUGGUCGGGUAGAGAAUACCAAGGCGCUUGAGAGAACUCGGGUGAAGGAACUAGGCAAAAUGGUACCGUAACUUCGGGAGAAGGUACGCUGCCCGCGGUGAAGUCCCUUGCGGAUGGAGCUAUGGGCAGUCGCAGAUACCAGGUGGCUGCAACUGUUUAUUAAAAACACAGCACUGUGCAAAAUCGAAAGAUGACGUAUACGGUGUGACGCCUGCCCGGUGCCGGAAGGUUAAUUGAUGUGGUUAUCGCAAGAGAAGCCAUUGAUCGAAGCCCCGGUAAACGGCGGCCGUAACUAUAACGGUCCUAAGGUAGCGAAAUUCCUUGUCGGGUAAGUUCCGACCUGCACGAAUGGCGUAAUGAUGGCCACGCUGUCUCCACCCGAGACUCAGUGAAAUUGAAAUCGCAGUGAAGAUGCUGUGUACCCGCGGCUAGACGGAAAGACCCCGUGAACCUUUACUACAGCUUGGCACUGAACAUUGAGCCUACAUGUGUAGGAUAGGUGGGAGGCUUUGAAGCGGCGACGCCAGUUGCUGUGGAGCCAUCCUUGAAAUACCACCCUUGUAUGUUUGAUGUUCUAACUUAGCCCCGUUAUCCGGGGUGAGGACAGUGCCUGGUGGGUAGUUUGACUGGGGCGGUCUCCUCCCAAAGAGUAACGGAGGAGCACGAAGGUGGGCUAAUCACGGUCGGACAUCGUGAGGUUAGUGCAAUGGCAUAAGCCCGCUUAACUGCGAGAGUGACGGCUCGAGCAGGUACGAAAGUAGGUCAUAGUGAUCCGGUGGUUCUGAAUGGAAGGGCCAUCGCUCAACGGAUAAAAGGUACUCCGGGGAUAACAGGCUGAUACCGCCCAAGAGUUCAUAUCGACGGCGGUGUUUGGCACCUCGAUGUCGGCUCAUCACAUCCUGGGGCUGAAGUCGGUCCCAAGGGUAUGGCUGUUCGCCAUUUAAAGUGGUACGCGAGCUGGGUUUAGAACGUCGUGAGACAGUUCGGUCCCUAUCUGCCGUGGGCGUUGGAUGAUUGAGGGGAGCUGCUCCUAGUACGAGAGGACCGGAGUGGACGAACCGCUGGUGUUCGGGUUGUGUCGCCAGACGCAUUGCCCGGUAGCUAAGUUCGGCACAGAUAAGCGCUGAAAGCAUCUAAGCGCGAAGCUGGCCCCGAGAUGAGUCAUCCCUAGAGCUUCGAGCUCUCUAAAGGGUUGUCGUAGAC